CGAACUAACAUUUUAACUGUUGAAACUAGGACGAAAAUGCAAUGACAAAAAUUAUUGGGAUAAACGUGAAACUCAUCAUAUAUCUUUUCAUUACUAGCAAUAAUAUACACUAAGAAGAUGAGGGUUUGAUUCCGGAACGCAAUACGUGAAGAGGAAUGCCCUAACUAGGGCAAUCCACAAGUUUGACCAAAGCAAAAAGAAGGGAAUUACAGAACAGGAACAACAUCAAUGACGGGAAAGGGAUAAUAGUUCGGAAUCAAUGACCACAUUAAACAAGGAAAGUCUCCCACAAUAUAUAUCUGAUUCCACAAUAUGAUGAACUUAAAUAACAACAACUAUAUUUUUGGAGGGAAGUAAGAGGAACCCAGUUCUUUACUUAUAUUUUGGGACACUUUACAAGGAAGAAAUGCAAGAAAAGGAUCAUGGUUGGCCCCAUCUCCGAAAGCCAAAAGGUCCUACAAAUGUACCAACUCCUAUAUAUAUGAAUGGGAGUAGAGUAAUCGGUCCCAUAACUAAAUAUUUUAAAUUCAGUUUUUUGCCCUUCAGCAACAAUGCAAAGGAGUGCCUCUUCCGUUUCUUCAACAAAGCAAAGAAGUGCCUCUUCCGUUUCUUCAACAAGCAAAGAAGUGCCUCUUUCGUUUCUUCAACAAUGCAAAGAAGUGCCUCUUCCGUUUCUUCAACAAUGCAAAGAAGUGCCUCUUUCGUUUCUUCAACAAUGCAAAG
rnacentral:lncRNA from 1 species